AUUCAGCCGAUAAGUCCAAAAUAGGACGAAACUCGCUUUCUGAAU
rnacentral:hammerhead_ribozyme from 1 species